GUAGGAUCAGAAUCGACCAUUAGCAAAGCAUGUUUUUCCGCUUCCGUCAACCUUGCAGAAAUUUAGGCCCUAAAAAAAAACUUGCAUAAAUUUAGAUGUAUGAGUUGUCUCAUGUGUAUAGAAAGAUGAUUCUUGCGACACGAUAUACAAAGCAAGGGAAUAAAGCAAACUGAACGAAAUGUAGAAGCACGGCGUAAAACAUAUGAAGCAUAACUAUAUAUGUGACGUAUGAAACAAAUUGUACACCACGAAGAAAAGUAUGGUUCAGAGGAAUCAUGAAACUUUUAGGUGCGUUAUAUGCAUACAAUCUCAACAUAAUAUCCACAUGGUGGAUGCACAUAUUUUUCUUUCUAAAUGGGAAUACAAAAGAUUUAUAUGCAGUGGUUCAAACUAAGUUCUGACUGUCUUGUGCAUAAUGUAUGUGAAAUUCAGGAAGCUUGAUUUAGUUUUCAAUUAAGAAAAUACGUGACAUCUGCAAACAUUCAUCAGGCAUGCGGAUCAAGCAAAAUUAAACUCAUUGUGAAAGCAUAAAUUGGUGAUUUUGUGGAAGCAUAAAUGUAUGAAAUUGCAAAUGACAAAAGUUUGCCAUCAAUAUAAGGGUACAUCAUUCUAACAGCAAGAAAGCCAAUUUCAUCUGAACAAAUUGGUGAUUUUUUUUCAGGUUAGAUACUACACUCGAUAAGCACAUGAAAUGAAGGGUGAUGGAAGCAGUGCAAUACCUCGAUUUUGAGAUGGGCGCUUCAAAUGUAGGGGGUGGGCUGGGGAGAGUUGCAAUCCACUGCCGGUUCUUCAUCCGGCUGGUGCUACUCCUACAGCUAAUUUGUAACUUCUGAUCAAUGAGUCGCUGCUGAGGAUAGAGGGCUCGAACCCCUAUUGACAGGAUGGCGCACCACUAAUCUCGCACGGGGAAAACAUCAACAGAGUGAUGGAUGGGGACAUCGGGAUGUGCAACGACGAGGACAAGGGAGUGGGAAGUUGGCCGGCUGGUCGGCGGCGAGGAGCUAAAGUGCGGCGCACCACGGUGGAGCGGAAAAGGGGAUCUGGCGAGCUGGGUGGAGCUUGGGAUGGAGGAAGAGCUCCAGGAAGUGCAUCUCGAUUCGUAAUAUGGGAUUAGGAGAGAAAUCCCAUGCUAAAGUUACGGAGCUGAUUUCUUUUAUUUCCUUAUUUAUGAAAGUCGGACUACUCUCAAGGAUCGGAUUGGGAAUAGAUCAAGGGAGUUUGAUUGGUCUGGCGUUGGAGUCUUAUCAGACUAUAGAUACAAAGUAUUUCCCUUGAAAUUUAUGAUGUGUGUGUCAUGCAUCUCUUUACAUAUCCAAUGGUUGUCAAGUAGCUAGUUUUGUUAAGCGAAGUAGCUAGUUGUUGGAUUUCUUCGAAGGG
rnacentral:lncRNA from 1 species